CAGAGGCCUGUUGUACUUGAAUCAAUCGUAGCCUAGCAGUGGAGGACACAGAGACAGGUUUUUUCAAAGGAAACUCAUGGUUCUUUUUAUAGGGCUGUUCAUGUCCAGACGUGUCAGUUUUUCUGUGAACCCAUGCACAGUACAUAGGUUACAAAGGUCAAAUCUGAGUCCUGAGAGGCCUCUGUGUGAGGGCGGGCCCUGCUCUGCCAUGCGCUCAGCCUGCAGAGACACUACCGACAAGCAGCUGUGCUUGGGACAGCCUCCGCUUUGGAAUCCAUGCCCUGGGAAAUCUUUUGACAGAGGGUAACGUAGAUUCAGCUGGGGGGAGCGUUCAGAAGAGCCGCGUGGAUUUGUAUCCCAUCUGUGCCGAGUGGCAUUGCGGCGCAGAGAGGUAGGUGGUGUUCCCAGGGCUUGGGGGGCGCUGCUGAGCCGGUGGCGGGUAGAUCCUGGUGAGAAGUAAAAGCAGACAGAGCGUGGUGAGAAGACCACUGACCAGCUGACAAGCUGAUGGUCUUUGCAUUUGGAAAAUCUGGGUUUGGGACUCCCGGCAUGGAGAAGGGUGUAUUAGUUCUAGCAGCGGGGAAACUAGUGAUCAGGGGAAAGAGAAAGAAGGGUCAGAUGAAGAGAAGUGCAGACUCUGAGCAAACGCUACAGUGUUGACCUCUGGCUUCCAGAAGGACAAAAAAUCAGGGCUUCUUAAGGUCUGGACCUCAGAGCGUCGCUCCUGCUUUCCAUUGGUAAAGGCAAGUCACGAGAUUCAGGAGCGCGGAACUAGGCUCUGCGUCUGGAUGGCAGGAAAGCCCCACGUGAAUCAGGAGGGGAGGUAUUGGAGCCGGCAGUCCAGCUGCCUUUGGAGACAUUGGCUUGCUCUUCCCGAUGUCCUCACCGGCGUGAGACGCCCCACCGCGCAGACCUGCCGCUUGAGGCUCCCGACUUCCUUGCAGUCAUGCUCUGCUCUCAGUUCACACUUCUGACAAGCUAAAAUCCCGGGGCCUUUACACAAGCUGACUGCCGAGCCAGGUGUUUUUUGUUUUUUGUUUUAAAGAUUUUAUUUAUUUAACAGAGAUCACUAGUAGGCAGAGAGGCAGGCAGAAGUGGGGGUAGAGAGCAAGCUUCCCGCUGAGCAGAGAGCCUAAUGCAGGGCUCGAUCCCAGGACCCUGGGAUCAUGACCUGAGCUGAAGGCAGAGGCUUAACCCACUGAGCCACCCAGGCGCCUCCGAGCCGGGUUUUGUCCAGCAGGAGCCUCUUUAGGUUUUUCCUGGUUUUCUUUUU